AAUGGUGGUUUGAGCUGCGGUGUUUGGAGAGUUUUUAUUUUGGUCAACUAUGGAUCCAUAUUCGAAGAGGAAGAAGGAAUUGCCCGAACGGCCACCCGAGUCAACUUUUCCCGACGAGGUACUGGAGCUAGUUCUGGGUCUUUUGAAAUCUAACAAGGACCGGAGCUCGGUUUCUCUAGUGUGCAAGGACUGGUACAACGCGGAGAGCUGGUCACGUACUCAUG
rnacentral:misc_RNA from 1 species